rnacentral:rRNA from 1 species
UACGUAGGGUGCAAGCGUUAAUCGGAAUUACUGGGCGUAAAGCGUGCGCAGGCGGUUCGCUAAGACAGAUGUGAAAUCCCCGGGCUUAACCUGGGAACUGCAUUUGUGACUGGCGGGCUAGAGUAUGGCAGAGGGGGGUAGAAUUCCACGUGUAGCAGUGAAAUGCGUAGAGAUGUGGAGGAAUACCGAUGGCGAAGGCAGCCUCCUGGGCCAACACUGACGCUCAUG